rnacentral:rRNA from 1 species
AUUGAACGCUGGCGGCAGGCCUAACACAUGCAAGUCGAACGAGUGGCGGACGGGUGAGUAAUGUCUGGGAAACUGCCUGAUGGAGGGGGAUAACUACUGGAAACGGUAUCUAAUACCGCAUACCAUCGGAUGUGCCCAGAUGGGAUUAGCUAGUAGGUGGGGUAACGUCUCACCUAGGCGACGAUCCACAGCUGGUCUGAGAGGAUGAACAGCCACAGUGCAACUGGGACACGGUCCAGACUCCUCCGGGAGGCAGCAGUGGGGAAUAUUGCACAAUGGGCGGAAGCUGGAUGCAGCCAUGCCGCGUGUAUGAAGAAGGCCUUCGGGUUGUAAAGUACUUUCAGCGGGGAGGCGUUACCCGCAGAAGAAGCACCGGCUAACUCCGUGCCAGCAGCCGCGGUAAUUC